rnacentral:rRNA from 1 species
GACAUAGGUGGCGAACGUUAUCCGGAAUUAUUGGGCGUAAAGAGCUCGUAGGCGGUCUGUUGCGUCCGCUGUGAAAACUCGGGGCUUAACCCCGAGCCUGCAGUGGAUACGGGCAGACUAGAGGUAGGUAGGGGAGAAUGGAAUUCCCGGUGUAGCGGUGAAAUGCGCAGAUAUCGGGAGGAACACCGGUGGCGAAGGCGGUUCUCCGGGCCUUACCUGACGCUGAGGAGCGAAAGCGUGGGGAGCGAACAGG